rnacentral:rRNA from 1 species
AGCGAACGCUGGCGGCCGGCCUAACACAUGCAAGUCGAACGGAUCCUUCGGGAUUAGUGGCGGACGGGUGAGUAACACGUGGGAACGUGCCCUUUGGUUCGGAACAACUCAGGGAAACUUGAGCUAAUACCGGAUGUGCCCUUCGGGGGAAAGAUUUAUCGCCAUUGGAGCGGCCCGCGUCUGAUUAGCUAGUUGGUGAGGUAAAGGCUCACCAAGGCGACGAUCAGUAGCUGGUCUGAGAGGAUGAUCAGCCACAUUGGGACUGAGACACGGCCCAAACUCCUACGGGAGGCAGCAUUGGGGAAUCUUGCGCAAUGGGCGAAAGCUUGGCGCAGCCAUGCCGCGUGAAUGAUGAAGGUCUUAGGAUUGUAAAAUUCUUUCACCGGGGACGAUAAUGACGGUACCCGGAGAAGAAGCCCCGGCUAACUUCGUGCCAGCAGCCGCCGUAAGAC